rnacentral:rRNA from 1 species
UAAUACGAAGGGAACUAGCGUUGUCCGGAAUUACUGGGCGUAAAGAGCACGUAGGCGGUUUAUUAAGUUGGGAGUGAAAUCCCGGAGCUCAACUCCGGAACUGCUCUCAAAACUGAUAGACUAGAGUGUGAUAGGGGGUGAUGGAAUUCCUAGUGUAGAGGUGAAAUUCUUAGAUAUUAGGAGGAACAUCGGUGGCGAAGGCGAUCACCUGGAUCAUUACUGACGCUGAGGUGCGAAAGCGUGGGGAGCAAACAGG